GAACGAUGAACUUCCUUCGGGAAGGGAUUAGUGGCGAACGGGUGAGUAACACGUGAGAAAUCUGCCCUUCACUCUGGGAUAACACCGGGAAACCGGUGCUAAUACCGGAUACUCCAUCUUGGCGGCAUCGCCGAGCUGGGAAAAAACUUUGAUGAAAGAUGGUCUCGCGGCCUAUCAGCUAGUUGGUGAGGUAAAGGCUCACCAAGGCGACGACGGGUAGCCGGCCUGAGAGGGCGACCGGCCACACUGGAACUGAGACACGGUCCAGACUCC
rnacentral:rRNA from 1 species